rnacentral:misc_RNA from 1 species
AAAUAGCCCUGAUAGAAGCGGUUACCCCGCAACAUGCACCGGCAAAAGCCCGGUCGUGAGGAGUAUGAGCGGAUAGCAGGUUCCCGG